CGCAUAUUGCGCCCUUUGGCAUUCCGAAGGGCAUGCCUGUUCGAGCGUCAUUACACCCCUCAAACUUAACUGUUUGAUGUUGGGCGUUGCCUGCAAAGGCUCGCCUCAAAGACAAUGACGGUUCCAGCCAACCUCAGACGUACAAGUAUCGUUAUGGGUGCGGUUGGGAGCGGUCAGCCAUUCUAUAGCUUCUGAAUGUUGACCUCGGAUCAGGUAGGAAUACCCGCUGAACUUAA
rnacentral:misc_RNA from 1 species